rnacentral:rRNA from 1 species
UACGGAGGGGGCGAGCGUUUAUUCGGAAUUAUUGGGCGUAAAGGGCGCGUAGGCGGCUGUACAAGUCAAAGGUGAAAUCCCUCGGCUCAACUGAGGAACUGCCUUUGAAACUGUACGGCUUGAGGCCGGGAGGGGGUAGCGGAAUUCCCAGUGUAGCGGUGAAAUGCGUAGAUACUGGGAGGAACACCAGUGGCGAAGGCGGCUACCUGGACCGGUUCUGACGCUGAGGCGCGAAAGCGUGGGUAGCAAACAGG